rnacentral:rRNA from 1 species
GAUGAACGCUGGCGGCGUGCCUAAUACAUGCAAGUCGAGCGAACGGACGAGAAGCUUGCUUCUCUGAUGUUAGCGGCGGACGGGUGAGUAACACGUGGAUAACCUACCUAUAAGACUGGGAUAACUUCGGGAAACCGGAGCUAAUACCGGAUAAUAUUUUGAACCGCAUGGUUCAACAGUGAAAGGCGGUCUUGCUGUCACUUAUAGAUGGAUCCGCGCUGCAUUAGCUAGUUGGUAAGGUAACGGCUUACCAAGGCAACGAUGCAUAGCCGACCUGAGAGGGUGAUCGGCCACACUGGAACUGAGACACGGUCCAGACUCCUACGGGAGGCAGCAGUAGGGAAUCUUCAGCAAUGGGCGAAAGCCUGACGGAGCAACGCCGCGUGAGUGAUGAAGGUCUUCGGAUCGUAAAACUCUGUUAUUAGGGAAGAACAUAUGUGUAAGUAACUGUGCACAUCUUGACGGUACCUAAUCAGAAAGCCACGGCUAACUACGUG